CAUGCCUUACACAUGCAAGUCGAACGGCAGCACGGGUGCUUGCACCUGGUGGCGAGUGGCGAACGGGUGAGUAAUACAUCGGAACAUGUCCUGUAGUGGGGGAUAGCCCGGCGAAAGCUUCUAUAAUACCGCAUACGAUCCACGGAUGAAAGCGGGGGACCUUCGGGCCUCGCGCUAUAGGGUUGGCCGAUGGCUGAUUAGCUAGUUGGUGGGGUAAAGGCCUACCAAGGCGACGAUCAGUAGCUGGUCUGAGAGGACGACCAGCCACACUGGGACUGAGACACGGCCCAG
rnacentral:rRNA from 1 species